UACGUAGGGGGCAAGCGUUGUCCGGAUUUAUUGGGCGUAAAGAGCGUGUAGGCGGCCAGGUAGGUCUGCUGUGAAAACUCGAGGCUUAACCUCGAGCUGUCGGCGGAAACCAUCUGGCUAGAGUCCGGAAGAGGAGAAUGGAAUUCCCGGUGUAGCGGUGAAAUGCGUAGAUAUCUGGAGGAACACCGGUGGCGAAGGCGGCAUCCUGGACCGGCAUUGACGCUGAGGCGCGAAAGCCAGGGGAGCAAACGGG
rnacentral:rRNA from 1 species